rnacentral:rRNA from 1 species
UUAAGCGACUAAGCGUACACGGUGGAUGCCCUGGCAGUCAGAGGCGAUGAAGGACGUGCUAAUCUGCGAUAAGCGUCGGUAAGGUGAUAUGAACCGUUAUAACCGGCGAUUUCCGAAUGGGGAAACCCAGUGUGUUUCGACACACUAUCAUUAACUGAAUCCAUAGGUUAAUGAGGCGAACCGGGGGAACUGAAACAUCUAAGUACCCCGAGGAAAAGAAAUCAACCGAGAUUCCCCCAGUAGCGGCGAGCGAACGGGGAGCAGCCCAGAGCCUGAAUCAGUGUGUGUGUUAGUGGAAGCGUCUGGAAAGGCGUGCGAUACAGGGUGACAGCCCCGUACACAAAAAUGCACAUGCUGUGAGCUCGAUGAGUAGGGCGGGACACGUGGUAUCCUGUCUGAAUAUGGGGGGACCAUCCUCCAAGGCUAAAUACUCCUGACUGACCGAUAGUGAACCAGUACCGUGAGGGAAAGGCGAAAAGAACCCCGGCGAGGGGAGUGAAAAAGAACCUGAAACCGUGUACGUACAAGCAGUGGGAGCACGCUUAGGCGUGUGACUGCGUACCUUUUGUAUAAUGGGUCAGCGACUUAUAUUCUGUAGCAAGGUUAACCGAAUAGGGGAGCCGAAGGGAAACCGAGUCUUAACUGGGCGUUAAGUUGCAGGGUAUAGACCCGAAACCCGGUGAUCUAGCCAUGGGCAGGUUGAAGGUUGGGUAACACUAACUGGAGGACCGAACCGACUAAUGUUGAAAAAUUAGCGGAUGACUUGUGGCUGGGGGUGAAAGGCCAAUCAAACCGGGAGAUAGCUGGUUCUCCCCGAAAGCUAUUUAGGUAGCGCCUCGUGAAUUCAUCUCCGGGGGUAGAGCACUGUUUCGGCAAGGGGGUCAUCCCGACUUACCAACCCGAUGCAAACUGCGAAUACCGGAGAAUGUUAUCACGGGAGACACACGGCGGGUGCUAACGUCCGUCGUGAAGAGGGAAACAACCCAGACCGCCAGCUAAGGUCCCAAAGUCAUGGUUAAGUGGGAAACGAUGUGGGAAGGCCCAGACAGCCAGGAUGUUGGCUUAGAAGCAGCCAUCAUUUAAAGAAAGCGUAAUAGCUCACUGGUCGAGUCGGCCUGCGCGGAAGAUGUAACGGGGCUAAACCAUGCACCGAAGCUGCGGCAGCGACGCUGAUGCGUUGUUGGGUAGGGGAGCGUUCUGUAAGCCUGCGAAGGUGUGCUGUGAGGCAUGCUGGAGGUAUCAGAAGUGCGAAUGCUGACAUAAGUAACGAUAAAGCGGGUGAAAAGCCCGCUCGCCGGAAGACCAAGGGUUCCUGUCCAACGUUAAUCGGGGCAGGGUGAGUCGACCCCUAAGGCGAGGCCGAAAGGCGUAGUCGAUGGGAAACAGGUUAAUAUUCCUGUACUUGGUGUUACUGCGAAGGGGGGACGGAGAAGGCUAUGUUGGCCGGGCGACGGUUGUCCCGGUUUAAGCGUGUAGGCUGGUUUUCCAGGCAAAUCCGGAAAAUCAAGGCUGAGGCGUGAUGACGAGGCACUACGGUGCUGAAGCAACAAAUGCCCUGCUUCCAGGAAAAGCCUCUAAGCAUCAGGUAACAUCAAAUCGUACCCCAAACCGACACAGGUGGUCAGGUAGAGAAUACCAAGGCGCUUGAGAGAACUCGGGUGAAGGAACUAGGCAAAAUGGUGCCGUAACUUCGGGAGAAGGCACGCUGAUAUGUAGGUGAAGUCCCUUGCGGAUGGAGCUGAAAUCAGUCGAAGAUACCAGCUGGCUGCAACUGUUUAUUAAAAACACAGCACUGUGCAAACACGAAAGUGGACGUAUACGGUGUGACGCCUGCCCGGUGCCGGAAGGUUAAUUGAUGGGGUCAGCGCAAGCGAAGCUCUUGAUCGAAGCCCCGGUAAACGGCGGCCGUAACUAUAACGGUCCUAAGGUAGCGAAAUUCCUUGUCGGGUAAGUUCCGACCUGCACGAAUGGCGUAAUGAUGGCCAGGCUGUCUCCACCCGAGACUCAGUGAAAUUGAACUCGCUGUGAAGAUGCAGUGUACCCGCGGCAAGACGGAAAGACCCCGUGAACCUUUACUAUAGCUUGACACUGAACAUUGAGCCUUGAUGUGUAGGAUAGGUGGGAGGCUUGGAAGUGUGGACGCCAGUCUGCAUGGAGCCGACCUUGAAAUACCACCCUUUAAUGUUUGAUGUUCUAACGUUGACCCGUAAUCCGGGUUGCGGACAGUGUCUGGUGGGUAGUUUGACUGGGGCGGUCUCCUCCUAAAGAGUAACGGAGGAGCACGAAGGUUGGCUAAUCCUGGUCGGACAUCAGGAGGUUAGUGCAAUGGCAUAAGCCAGCUUGACUGCGAGCGUGACGGCGCGAGCAGGUGCGAAAGCAGGUCAUAGUGAUCCGGUGGUUCUGAAUGGAAGGGCCAUCGCUCAACGGAUAAAAGGUACUCCGGGGAUAACAGGCUGAUACCGCCCAAGAGUUCAUAUCGACGGCGGUGUUUGGCACCUCGAUGUCGGCUCAUCACAUCCUGGGGCUGAAGUAGGUCCCAAGGGUAUGGCUGUUCGCCAUUUAAAGUGGUACGCGAGCUGGGUUUAGAACGUCGUGAGACAGUUCGGUCCCUAUCUGCCGUGGGCGCUGGAGAACUGAGGGGGGCUGCUCCUAGUACGAGAGGACCGGAGUGGACGCAUCACUGGUGUUCGGGUUGUCAUGCCAAUGGCACUGCCCGGUAGCUAAAUGCGGAAGAGAUAAGUGCUGAAAGCAUCUAAGCACGAAACUUGCCCCGAGAUGAGUUCUCCCUGACCCUUUAAGGGUCCUGAAGGAACGUUGAAGACGACGACGUUGAUAGGCCGGGUGUGUAAGCGCAGCGAUGCGUUGAGCUAACCGGUACUAAUGAACCGUGAGGCUUAACCUU